rnacentral:rRNA from 1 species
UCUUCCGCAAUGGGCGAAAGCCUGACGGAGCAACGCCGCGUGAGUGAUGAAGGUCUUCGGAUCGUAAAACUCUGUUAUUAGGGAAGAACAAAUGUGUAAGUAACUGUGCACGUCUUGACGGUACCUAAUCAGAAAGCCACGGCUAACUACGUGCCAGCAGCCGCGGUAAUACGUAGGUGGCAAGCGUUAUCCGGAAUUAUUGGGCGUAAAGCGCGCGUAGGCGGUUUCUUAAGUCUGAUGUGAAAGCCCACGGCUCAACCGUGGAGGGUCAUUGGAAACUGGGAAACUUGAGUGCAGAAGAGGAAAGUGGAAUUCCAUGUGUAGCGGUGAAAUGCGCAGAGAUAUGGAGGAACACCAGUGGCGAAGGCGACUUUCUGGUCUGUAACUGACGCUGAUGUGCGAAAGCGUGGGGAUCAAACAGGAUUAGAUACCCUGGUAGUCCACGCCGUAAACGAUGAGUGCUAAGUGUUAGGGGGGUUUCCGCCCCUUAGUGCUGCAGCUAACGCAUUAAGCACUCCGCCUGGGGAGUACGACCGCAAGGUUGAAACUCAAAGGAAUUGACGGGGACCCGCACAAGCGGUGGAGCAUGGGGGUUUAAUUCGAAGCAACGCGAAGAACCUUACCAAAUCUUGACAUCCUUUGACAACUCUAGAGAUAGAGCCUUCCCCUUCGGGGGACAAAGUGACAGGGGUGGCAUGGUUGUCGUCAGCUCGGGUCGUGAGAUGUUGGGUUAAGUCCCGCAACGAGCGCAACCCUUAAGCUUAGUUGCCAGCAUUAAGUUGGGC